GCCGACAAUAAACCUGGCCUGGUGCCUUCGCAUCUUAAUGGAUCUUGUGGUCAUCGGGUGGUUUGCUCGAGGUCUGCUGUGCUGGCUGUCUGCACAGAGCUGAGACAGCACACAGGAAAAACACACACAUGCAGCCAAACGUCUAACCACAGGAGUGCUUCCAGG